CAGCAGCCGCGGUAAUACAGAGGGUGCGAGCGUUAAUCGGAUUUACUGGGCGUAAAGCGUGCGUAGGCGGCUUUUUAAGUCGGAUGUGAAAUCCCUGAGCUUAACUUAGGAAUUGCAUUCGAUACUGGGAAGCUAGAGUAUGGGAGAGGAUGGUAGAAUUCCAGGUGUAGCGGUGAAAUGCGUAGAGAUCUGGAGGAAUACCGAUGGCGAAGGCAGCCAUCUGGCCUAAUACUGACGCUGAGGUACGAAAGCAUGGGGAGCAAACAGGAUUAGAUACCCCCGUAGUCCCUGUCUCUUAUAU
rnacentral:rRNA from 1 species